UACGAAGGGGGCUAGCGUUGUUCGGAGUUACUGGGCGUAAAGGGCGCGUAGGCGGCGCACCAAGUCAGGCGUGAAAUCCCCGGGCUCAACCUGGGAACUGCAUUUGUGACUGUAGAGCUGGAGUACGGCAGAGGGGGAUGGAAUUCCGCGUGUAGCAGUGAAAUGCGUAGAUAUGCGGAGGAACACCGAUGGCGAAGGCAAUCCCCUGGGCCUGUACUGACGCUCAUGCACGAAAGCGUGGGGAGCAAACAGG
rnacentral:rRNA from 1 species